GAUUCUGUAGAGCAAAUUUGAAUCCGUAAUUAGUAUUAAGUACAAAUGCACCUCCUUACUAUUUUUUGGUGCAAUAUAGAUUUCUUGAGUUAAUUGCACAUUCAAAAGUGAUAUUGACCUGUAAAUAUCUUUAAAACACCUUCUGGUUGUGGACUUUUAAUGCAAAUAUCUUUUACUUAUAAAAAACUAUGCCUAAAUUAUGAUUUCACCCUAGCUUUUGUGUUUUGAUUUCAGAAAUUUUUGUAUCUGUCUCGAAUUUUUCAAUUGAUUUUGGUCAAAGUACUCGAAAUCGACUGACAAUAUUUGGUAUAGAUCCCACACCCACACCCAUGUUGUGUCGAUACGAGUGCGGCACCGAAAGUGAAGAGUUCGUGCAACUUAGGUUGGUUGAUAUGUUGAAGGGCACAGGUAUUAAAGUGAGAGUUCAAGUUUUCGUAAUGUUUAAAUAGGAGUGAGUCAUAAGGUGAGAGAAGCUUACCUUCAGAAUAGUUUACACCACCUUUAAUACAGAAGUGGAUGCAAUGGUCCCUUUUUGAGGAACUUUUCUUCUCUUUAAGGAAAGUGAAUGCUAUUAUAAGACAACCAAAAGUGGAUUGUGAGAUCUGAGAAUUAAACUGGGAAAAGG
rnacentral:lncRNA from 1 species